rnacentral:rRNA from 1 species
AUUGAACGCUGGCGGCAUGCUUUACACAUGCAAGUCGGACGAGUGGCGAACGGGUGAGUAACGCAUCGGAACGUACCGAGGAAUGGGGGAUAACUGACCGAAAGGACAGCUAAUACCGCAUAUUAUUCGAGCGGCCGAUGUCUGAUUAGCUGGUUGGCGGGGUAAAGGCCCACCAAGGCGACGAUCAGUAGCGGGGCUGAGAGGAUGAUCCGCCAACAUGGGAUUGAUACACGGCCCAGGCUCCUUGGGGAGGCAGCCGUGGGGGAUUUUGGACAAUGGGCGCAAUCCUGAUCCAUCCAUGCCGCGUGUCUGAAGCAGGCCUUCGGGUUGUAAAGGCCUUUUGUCAGGGAAGCGGUACCUGACGAAUAAGCACCGGCUAACUACGUGCCAGCAGCCGCGGUAAUUC